AUUGAACGCUGGCGGCAGGCCUAACACAUGCAAGUCGAGCGAGCGGCGGACGGGUGAGUAAUAUAUGGGGAACUGCCCGUUAUAGGGGGAUAACUACUGGAAACGGUGUCUAAUACCGCAUAUUGUCCGAGGUACCCAUAGGGGAUUAGCUAGUGGGUAAGGUAAUGGCUUACCUAGGCGACGAUCCCUCGCUGGUCUGAGAGGAUGAUCAGCCACACUGGGACUGAGACACGGCCCAGACUCCUACGGGAGGCAGCAGUGGGGAAUAUUGCACAAUGGGCGCAAGCCUGAUGCAGCCAUGCCGCGUGUAUGAAGAAGGCCCUAGGGUUGUAAAGUACUUUCAGUCGGGAGGCGUUACCGACAGAAGAAGCACCGGCUAACUCCGUGCCAGCAGCCGCGGUAAUUC
rnacentral:rRNA from 1 species